GGGCCCGGAGCUUGCUCUGGUGACCCGAGUGGCGGACGGGUGAGUAACACGUGACUAACCUACCUUCGGGAGGGGGACAACCUGGGGAAACCUGGGCUAAUACCGCAUAUCGUCCACGGGCCGCAUGACCUGUGGAUAAAAGGGAGCCUCUGCUUGCACGCUCCCACCCGAAGAGGGGGUCGCGGCGUAUCAGCUUGUUGGUGGGGUAACGGCCUACCAAGGCAACGACGCGUAGCGGGUCUGAGAGGACGACCCGUCACAUUGGGACUGAGAUACGGCUCAGACUCCUACGGGAGGCAGCAGUGGGGAAUAUUGCGCAAUGGCCGAAAGGUUGACGCAGCGACGCCGCGUGUGGGAGGACGCCCUUCGGGGUGUAAACCACUGUCAGGGGGGAAGAACUUCGCAGGUGUGAAUAGCGCUUGCGGUUGACGGUACCCCCAGAGGAAGCGCCGGCUAACUCCGUGCCAGCAGCCGCGGUAAGACGGAGGGCGCAAGCGUUGUUCGGAAUUACUGGGCGUAAAGGGCAGGUAGGUGGUCUGUUAAGUCUUCUGUGAAAAUCCGGGGCUCAACCCCGCGAAAUGCAGGUGAAACUGGCAGACUGGAGACCGGUAGAGGCUAGCGGAAUUCCUGGUGUGGCGGUGGAAUGCGUAGAUAUCAGGAAGAACACCUGUGGCGAAGGCGGCUAGCUGGGCCGGUUCUGACACUAAACUGCGAUAGCGUGGGGAGCAAACAGGAUUAGAUACC
rnacentral:rRNA from 1 species